rnacentral:rRNA from 1 species
GACGAACGCUGGCGGCGUGCUUAACACAUGCAAGUCGAACGAAGUGGCGAACGGGUGAGUAACGCGUAAUCAACCUGCCCUUCAGAGGGGGACAACAGUUGGAAACGACUGCUAAUACCGCAUACUGAAGGAGGGGAUUGCGUCUGAUUAGCUAGUUGGAGGGGUAACGGCCCACCAAGGCGAUGAUCAGUAGACUGGGUGAGAGUGUGGACGGCUACAUGUGGGCUGGGACACGGCCCAGACGCGUAGUGGAGGCAGCGGUCGGGGUUGUUGCGCAAUGGACGAGAGUUUUGAGGGGCAACGCGGCGUGGGGAAUGACGGCCUUUGGGGGGUAGAGCUCUGUGAAUCGUGACGCGGUACCUGAAUAGAAAGUCACGGGUAAAUACGGGCCAGCAGCCGCGGUAAUAC